GAUGAACGCUGGCGGCGUGCCUAAUACAUGCAAGUCGAGCGAACAGACGAGGAGCUUGCUCCUCUGACGUUAGCGGCGGACGGGUGAGUAACACGUGGAUAACCUACCUAUAAGACUGGGAUAACUUCGGGAAACCGGAGCUAAUACCGGAUAAUAUAUUGAACCGCAUGGUUCAAUAGUGAAAGACGGUUUUGCUGUCACUUAUAGAUGGAUCCGCGCCGCAUUAGCUAGUUGGUAAGGUAACGGCUUACCAAGGCAACGAUGCGUAGCCGACCUGAGAGGGUGAUCGGCCACACUGGAACUGAGACACGGUCCAGACUCCUACGGGAGGCAGCAGGAGGGAAUCUUCCGCAAUGGGCGAAAGCCUGACGGAGCAACGCCGCGUGAGUGAUGAAGGUCUUCGGAUCGUAAAACUCUGUUAAUAGGGAAGAACAAAUGUGUAAGUAACUAUGCACGUCUUGACGGUACCUAAUCAGAAAGCCACGGCUAACUACGUG
rnacentral:rRNA from 1 species